UCACAGCACUCUGGCACUCCUGCCAGCCACAGUCCUGUUCUUCUAUCACCCCACAUGAUCUUGAAGAACUCCGCUGCUCACUGCAGACUGACUGGGAGAAGGGGAUGAGAAGCCCCUGAUGCUGUCCUUGGUGCUCUCCUGUUGAACAUAAAGAAUUUCACAGAACAAACAUCAGACCAGGCCCCUGCUACCAAGGUGCAAUAAACCCAAGCAUUCAACUGCAGGGAUGCUCCGGAUGCACUUUGACUGGAGGGCAGUGACAACUCCCAGCAACUCGUGAUUCAGUAUCAAUAGUCUUCAAGGCCACUCCCAGGAUGGAGCAGAAGUGGCAGGCGUUUUGCCAAACUCUCAGCUGUACUGUGUUUCCUGCUGCUGCUGCUGCUGCUGCUAAGUCGCUUCAGUCGUAUCCGACUCUGUGCGACCCCAGAGACGGCAGCCCACUAGGAUCCCUCAUCCCUGGGAUUCUCCAGGAAUGUGAAGGGGAAUUCAUCUCAUCAAUGAGUUUGCACAGGGCUAGAUUGUUAAAGAGCUGAUUUCUUCAUAUUACAUAAACCAUACAACUUGUGCAUUUAAAAAGCAAUUUAAACUC
ensembl:lncRNA